rnacentral:rRNA from 1 species
UGGGUGAUCUGCCCUGCACUUCGGGAUAAGCCUGGGAAACUGGGUCUAAUACCGAAUACACCUCAUGGACUGCAUGGUUUGUGGGGGAAAGCUUUUUGCGGUGUGGGAUGGGCCCGCGGCCUAUCAGCUUGUUGGUGGGGUGAUGGCCUACCAAGGCGACGACGGGUAGCCGGCCUGAGAGGGUGACCCGGCCACACGUGGGACUGAGACACGGCCCAGACCUCCGUACGGGAGCA